rnacentral:lncRNA from 1 species
CGUCACCGGAAUCUCAGAAAAACAAACGCACACAACGUCUUUGGCUUUUCUCAACUCAGCCACUGUUUCCCUUUGACCAACAGAGGACGUCCUGAUUUGAAUUAAAAUGGACGGCAAAGAGGAGGGAGUUAUGGAGGCCUCAGAGAGGGACAGCUCUGGGAAUGAAUCAGACCCUUUGAAGAGGAGCUCCAUGCCCCGAAACUGG